AGUGGCGCGGACAGAGGAAAGGAAGGGAGACUUCAGGACGGCUAAUUUGAAUUUUACCACGAUAUUUCACCCACUAUUCAAGCUAAUGCAAGGUAUGUUGGCAAUACUUUAUUACAGCACACCUCACAGAUAUAUAGCAAUAAGUAUGCAUUCACAUGUGCAUCGUUUGUUUACUGUAGGUGCCAAAGCAUGAGGUGGUAAUGUAAAAAAUGCAGCUUUCAGUCAAACCGAAGACUACUGUACAGCUAUUAAUACACUUAAGUGCAUCCAACUCUAAUCAUCACUUGAUUGUGUUACAUUUUAUUUUCUUUGUUUUAGAUAAAAAUGAUUUCCGAAGAAUCACCACAAUUUCCUUGGAGCGUACAUUCUUGUAAAAGCUGGACUUCUAUACCCCAAAACUCCUGGCUUUGUUUGAGAUGAGGGUUGGGGUUGCUGGCAUAAGAAUUAAACAUUUGCUGGAUUCACUGAGCUAGCAAGAAGAUAGCCUUGAAGAUAGGUGAGAAGUUGUGAUUCGCUGCCUCCUAUCUUUCCUGGGAGAAUCAGCUAAGGAGCUCAUUGAAGACCACCAGGAUAUCAGCAGAGACAUGAUUAAGGAUACCUUAUUCAGUCAUGUCAUUAAAAUCAUCGUACUAAGCAGAUCUGUGGAAGAAGAUGCCGGUAUGUCUGAUGUCAUCAUUGUCAUUGAGGGAACUCUGGUGCUGCUGGGAUGUAAGAAUCUCACAAAUGCAUGUCUGUUUUUUUUGUUGUUGGUUUUUUUUGAUUGUUUUGUUUUAUGCAAGAAAUGUUGUUCACAAAACAACUUCAACUACAGUACUAUUUAACAUAGCCAUUCUUAUGCAUUUUAAGUAAUACUAUUCUGCUGAAGAAUAAUUAUUUUAUUUGAUGUCUUUUUUCACUUAAUUUAAUCUAAUUGAAAUUAAAAUAAGCUAAUGAAAGGCAGCUACUAGUUUGACUAUUUGCACAUUUGUUUUUGAUAUCUGCAACUGACAUUGCUGUAAUGUUUAUGUUUAAAUGUUU